AACGCACGAGACCUGCGGACCUGCGGAGGGAUCAUUACCGAGGACGUGGGUCGCGCCGGAACGGGCCGGCCCCUCUCUCAACACCAUGUGUAAAUCUCCUGUUGCUUCGGCGGGACGUCGGUUCUUUUUUGCCCUCCUCUGGAGGUGUGGAGGAACCGCCGUCGGCUUCAAAAAGUGGGCGAGUGCCUGCCGAAGAUCAAUUAAUGAAACUCGCAUCUUUUAAAGAAAUCGUCUGAGUUU
rnacentral:misc_RNA from 1 species